UGGGGUAUAGCCAAGUUGGUAAGGCAAUAGAUUUUGAUUCUAUCAUUCCAUGGUUCGAGUCCAUGUACCCCAUCCA
rnacentral:tRNA from 2 species